CUGCUUCCCUCUCGGAGGGCGCUGGGCGAGCCGCCUCUUUCCCGGCCGGGCGGAGUCCAGAGAAGCCGGGAGCCUUUCCUCCCGCUCCCCCCCCCCCGUCCGGUUCUCCUUGCUCUGCCUUCAGCAGCAAAGCUCUCUUCACACACAGAUGGAAGGACUCACAUAUACCCAGAAUGGAAGAAUGGAUGGGGAAGUUGACUGCUUUGGGUCCCAAAAGGAGAUCGGGUGACCUGGAACACUGCAACCUUCAGACAUGAGAGUCAGCGGUCAAGCAUCUGAAUUUUGAUCACAUGACCUUCGGGAUGCUGAGAAAUGGUCAUAAGUUACUUUUUUCAGUGCC